CUCCCUGGCAGGGUAUGGAACCCUGGUCUACCCUGUGACGUGGUAGCAUGAGUGGAUACUGACCACUAUGCUACCAAGGA